UUAACUCAUUUUUGUAUAGAGUUGGAACGUUUACCUACGUUUGCUGCUAAGGGCUCUGUUCCAACAAACAAACAAAUGUGUGCUG
rnacentral:pre_miRNA from 1 species